rnacentral:rRNA from 1 species
CCUACGGGUGGCUGCAGUGGGGAAUAUUGGACAAUGGGCGAAAGCCUGAUCCAGCCAUGCCGCGUGUGUGAAGAAGGCCUUCGGGUUGUAAAGCACUUUCAGUGGGGAAGAAAGCCUUGGGGCUAAUACCCUCGAGGAAGGACAUCACCCACAGAAGAAGCACCGGCUAACUCCGUGCCAGCAGCCGCGGUAAUACGGAGGGUGCGAGCGUUAAUCGGAAUUACUGGGCGUAAAGCGCGCGUAGGCGGUCUGAUAAGCCGGUUGUGAAAGCCCCGGGCUCAACCUGGGAACGGCAUCCGGAACUGUCAGGCUAGAGUGCAGGCGAGGAAGGUAGAAUUCCCGGUGUAGCGGUGAAAUGCGUAGAGAUCGGGAGGAAUACCAGUGGCGAAGGCGGCCUUCUGGACUGACACUGACGCUGAGGUGCGAAAGCGUGGGUAGCAAACAGGAUUAGAUACCCGAGUAGUC